rnacentral:rRNA from 1 species
ACGGAAGGCAGCAGUGGGGAAUAUUGCACAAUGGGCGAAAGCCUGAUGCAGCAGCGCCGCGUGAAGGAUGAAGGUCUUCGGAUCGUAAACUUCUGUCCUUGGGAAAGAAUAAAUGACGGUACCCUUGGAGGAAGCCCCGGCUAACUACGUGCCAGCAGCCGCGGUAAUACGUAGGGGGCAAGCGUUAUCCGGAAUUAUUGGGCGUAAAGAGUGCGUAGGUGGUUACCUAAGCAGGGGGUGAAAGGCACUGGCUUAACCAAUGUCAGCCCCCUGAACUGGGCUACUUGAGUGCAGGAGAGGAAAGCGGAACUCCAUGUGUAGCGGUGGAAUGCGUAGAUAUAUGGAAGAACACCAGUGGCGAAGGCGGCUUUCUGGACCGUUACUGACACUGAGGCACGAAAGUGUGGGGAGCAAACAGGAUUAGAUACCCUGGUA